UACGUAGGGCGCGAGCGUUGUCCGGAAUUAUUGGGCGUAAAGAGCUCGUAGGUGGCUUGUUGCGUCUGCCGUGAAAGCCCGUGGCUUAACUACGGGUCUGCGGUGGAUACGGGCAGGCUAGAGGCUGGUAGGGGCAAGCGGAAUUCCUGGUGUAGCGGUGAAAUGCGCAGAUAUCGGGAGGAACACCAGUGGCGAAGGCGACUUCCUGGCCUGUUCUUGACGCUGAGGCGCGAAAGCGUGGGGAGCGAACAGG
rnacentral:rRNA from 1 species